UGGGGAAUUUUGGACAAUGGGCGCAAGCCUGAUCCAGCCAUGCCGCGUGAGUGAAGAAGGCCUUCGGGUUGUAAAGCUCUUUCGGACGGGAAGAAAUGGCGGGCUCUAACAUAGCCUGUCGAUGACGGUACCGUAAGAAGAAGCCCCGGCUAACUUCGUGCCAGCAGCCGCGGUAAUACGAAGGGGGCUAGCGUUGCUCGGAAUCACUGUGCGUAAAGCGCACGUAGGCGGCUUACUAAGUCAGGGGUGAAAUCCUGGAGCUCAACUCCAGAACUGCCUUGGCGACUGGUGAGCUUGAGUUCGGGGAAGGUGAGUGGAACUGCGAGUGUAGAGGUGAAAUUCGUAGAUAUUCGCAAGAACACCAGUGGCGAAGGCGGCUCACUGGCCCGAUACUGACGCUGAGGUGCGAAAGCGUGGGGAGCAAACA
rnacentral:rRNA from 1 species